UACGUAGGGUGCAAGCGUUAAUCGGAAUUACUGGGCGUAAAGCGUGCGCAGGCGGUUAUUUAAGACAGGGGUGAAAUCCCCGGGCUUAACCUGGGAACUGCAUUUGUGACUGCAUAGCUAGAGUACGGUAGAGGGGGAUGGAAUUCCGCGUGUAGCAGUGAAAUGCGUAGAUAUGCGGAGGAACACCGAUGGCGAAGGCAAUCCCCUGGACCUGUACUGACGCUCAUGCACGAAAGCGUGGGGAGCAAACAGG
rnacentral:rRNA from 1 species